rnacentral:rRNA from 1 species
AUUGAACGCUGGCGGCAUGCCUUACACAUGCAAGUCGAACGGCAGCGGACCUUCGGGUGCCGGCGAGUGGCGAACGGGUGAGUAAUAUAUCGGAACGUACCUUUCAGUGGGGGAGUAACGUAGCGAAAGUUACGCUAAUACCGCAUAUUCUGUGAGCAGGAAAGCAGGGGAUCGCAAGACCUUGCGCUGAUUGAGCGGCCGAUAUCAGAUUAGCUAGUUGGUGAGGUAAAGGACUCACCAAGGCGACGAUCUGUAGCGGGUCGUGAGAGGACGAUCCGCCACACUGGAACUGAGACACGGUCCAGACUCCUACGGGAGGCAGCAGUGGGGGAAGUUUUUGGUACGAAUAGGGCGG